UCCCUGAAGGACCAGUGGUUAGGCCACAGCGCUCUCACCGCCAUGGCCCGGGCUCGACUCCCGGCCAGGGAA
rnacentral:tRNA from 1 species